rnacentral:rRNA from 1 species
CGGCAGCGCGGGGCAACCUGGCGGCGAGUGGCGAACGGGUGAGUAAUAUAUCGGAACGUACCCUGGAGUGGGGGAUAACGUAGCGAAAGUUACGCUAAUACCGCAUACGAUCUAAGGAUGAAAGUGGGGGAUUCGCAAGAACCUCAUGCUCCUGGAGCGGCCGAUAUCUGAUUAGCUAGUUGGUGGGGUAAAGGCCUACCAAGGCAUCGAUCAGUAGCUGGUCUGAGAGGACGACCAGCCACACUGGAACUGAGACACGGUCCAGACUCCUACGGGAGGCAGCAGUGGGGAAUUUUGGACAAUGGGCGAAAGCCUGAUCCAGCAAUGCCGCGUGAGUGAAGAAGGCCUUCGGGUUGUAAAGCUCUUUUGUCAGGGAAGAAACGGUGANGGCUAAUAUCCNUUGCUAAUGACGGUACCUGAAGAAUAAGCACCGGCUAACUACGUGCCAGCAGCCGCGGUAAUACGUAGGGUGCAAGCGUUAAUCGGAAUUACUGGGCGUAAAGCGUGCGCAGGCGGUUUUGUAAGUCUGUCGUGAAAUCCCCGGGCUCAACCUGGGAAUUGCGAUGGAGACUGCAAGGCUAGAAUCUGGCAGAGGGGGGUAGAAUUCCACGUGUAGCAGUGAAAUGCGUAGAGAUGUGGAGGAACACCGAUGGCGAAGGCAGCCCCCUGGGUCAAGAUUGACGCUCAUGCACGAAAGCGUGGGGAGCAAACAGGAUUAGAUACCCUGGUAGUCCACGCCCUAACGAUGUCUACUAGUUGUCGGGUUUUAAUUAACUUGGUAACGCAGCUAACGCGUGAAGUAGACCGCCUGGGGAGUACGGUCGCAAGAUUAAAACUCAAAGGAAUUGACGGGGACCCGCACAAGCGGUGGAUGAUGUGGAUUAAUUCGAUGCAACGCGAAAAACCUUACCUACCCUUGAC